AUCUACUCCCUAUCUGUUUCCCUUUCCCGCUCACAAUCUAUAUCUUAAAAUAGAAAUACUUUUGUACAUCAUAGAAUACUGCACUUACUUUUUGCCUUUGUUUAUAGACAUCUGUUAUAUUUGAUUCAGACCAUUUGCUAUAAAAACAAGAUCUUGGCAGUGAUGCUCCUCCUCCACUGAAAAUGUUUAUAGUGUGAGAAUGGAACAGUGUGAUUCCUUCCCCAAUUGGCUGCUAUUAGUGCUUAACUCUAUGGGCAAUUGUGCAAAAGGUGAUCAAAUCAAUGGAACUGUCAAAUAGCAAAAUAAAAAAGUUUACAAAUUGCUGGUCACUCAAAAGAGAAUUAGUAUUUCAAUUUAAUUGAAAAUGUGUGGAGUUAUGAAUGAGGACUUUAACUGUGCACUACAUGGUCAAACAAUGCAAUUGUGUUACAAGGGGAAAAGAUAGACUGAUAGACUUGGAGUGCAAAACUGUUUGUGGCAAUUGCAGUCCUAAAGCUAUCAUAGCCAUUGUAGUCCUAAGCCAUCAUAGCAUAACUGUUUAUAUGAAUUGUGGCCCAGAGCCAUUUUCAUGGUUGUUUAAGUGGUACCAUACUCAGUAAUCUAAAUUAUCUUUAGGCUGCACCAUGUGGGGCCAUCCUCAGCAGCAGCAAGUAAUGUCCAAUUGAUGAGAACUCCAACUAGAAGUAGGGCAUCAGGAUGGAUCAGGCAGGUCCUUAGAGCAGAAUCACUGAUAUCUCAGGAGUAGCAUGUGUAGCUUGACAGAAAAAGAGAGAGAGAGAGAGAGAAACAGGAGAUUAGUAGGUAUUUUUGGCUUAUUGUCUUGUAAUGGUUAAGGACAAUGUACUUUGUGUGCAGAGUGCAAGCAGGGACUCCAACAAGACUAGCUAUGACAGCAUAACUAAAAGGGAGAGCCAGAAGGCAACACAGACAUGAGGGCAUCCUGGGACAUAAAGUGUGAGUGAACACGUAAGAGUGGGGGGCGACAGCAUCCAAACAUCCCAAUUCACCACAACAUUUUGCACAUGAACCCUCCAGAACUGCUCUUUUAACUAAGAAAAUACUAUUCACAAAUGUCUUGACUUAACCUUGACUUAAACACUGAGACUGUAUCUGAUUCCCAAACACUAAUUGGAAGACUGUUCCAUAACUGUGUGGAUUUGUAAGAGAAAGCUCUACCCCCUGCUGUAUCCUUCACUAUUCAAGGUACCAACAAAUAACAUGCACCUUUUGAUCGAGUAGACAUGGUGAAUCAUAAAGUACCAAAAGUUUGAUCAUGUACUGUGGAGUGAGACUAUUCAGUAUAAUAUUGAUCAUAAUCAAUACAAAGUUUGAGUGGAAACCAUUGUAGAAUGGAUAAGAUAGGGGUGAUGUGGUCAUAUCUUCUGGUUCUAGUAAGGAAUAUUGCAGCUGCACUCUGGACUAAUUGGAGUUUGUUUAUGCUCCUACUGGAACAUCCACACAGUAAGGCAUUGCAGUAAUCCAAACUAGAGGUAACAAAAGCAUGAACUAAUUUUUCUGCCUUGUGUAGUGACAUUAUAUUUCUUAUUUAGCAAUAUUUCUAUGAUGAAAGAAGGCCAUCCUAGUAAUAUUAUCUACAUGAGCUUUAAAUGAAAGACUGGAGUCAAUAAUCACACCAAGGUCUUUUACUACUGCACAUGAUGAAACAGAAAGGCCAUCCAGAGUUACUAUGUAAUCAGAAAGCUUAGUUCUAGCUGCAUGUGGACAUUAUAGUACUAGAUGUAUUUGUUUUGUAAAUAUUUUGUAUACUACACCUGCAUGGUAUAUGGAGAUUAUACAGACACUUAAACAAACUUAACCAUUAUCCUAAAUAGCUUAAUACAGUGGUUCUCAACCAGUGGGGAGUGCUGAGACCAGAAGGGGGGCGCAAAUUUUUUAGAAUUCACAGACAGGGCAUCAUUUGGGUACUCUGUGUAUUUUACUGCUUUUCAAAUAGAAUGUGCAGAAAUGGAAAAACUCUGCGUUCUCUCUCCCUCUGUAUUUUUUAUUGCUGGGGAGAGGUGGAGCUUAGCCUGCCUUUUAUCUAGCUGUGAGUGCAGACCACUGUUGGCAACUUAGCGACUUUUCAGACCCCUUUAGCGACUUUUUUUUGUGCCACAUGAUAGGGAAGGUUUUGAGGGGGCUUUAGUUGCAAAAGGUUGAGAACCUCUGGCUUAAUCGAAUUACUUGGUUAUUUCACUGAAGGUCUUGCAACAUUGUUUCAGCUGGUUUGUUACACAUUAGUUUGCAAAAUGCAUGUGUGUGCAGUAGGCCUGCAACUAACAAUUAUUUUCGUAAUCAAUUAGUUGGCUGAUUAUUUAUUUAUUUUUCUGAUUAAUUAGUCCUCGUCUGUUUUCGGAACAGAAGUAACGUAAUGAGAGCGCAUGGUGGCUUAGUGGUUAGCACGUUCACCUCACACCUCCAGGGUCAGGGGUUUGAUUCCCACCGUGUCCCUGUGUGUGCGGAGUUUGCAUGUUCUCCCCGUGAUGCGGGGGUUUCCUCCGGGUACUCCGGUUUCCUCCCCCAGUCAAAAGACAUGCAUUGUAGGCUGAUUGGCAUGUCCAAAGUGUGCAUAGUGUAUAAAUGGGUGUGUGAGUGUGUAUGUGAUUGUGCCCUGCGAUGGACUGGCACCCUGUCCAGGGUGUACCCCGCCUUGUGUCCAUUGCUCCCUGGGAUAGGCUCCAGGUUCCCCCGUGAUCCUGAAAAGGAUAAAGCGAUAUAGAGGAUGGAUGGAUGGAUGGAAGUAACGUAAUGAGUAAAUCUCCCCUGUGCCAUGCGCAGACCAACUAAUCGAUAAUGAGAUUUGUUGAUGAUUUUCAUAAUCGAUUAUUAUCGAUUUUAUUGAUUAGUUGUUGCAGCUCUAGUGUGCAGUGUGUGCACAAGUGAGAAAAGCCUCUCAUCACAUGACCAUCACACCCAUAUGUGCUUGUUGAACAUUCCUUUCCAGUUUUAGUCCCCAUUUGCUGUGGCAUUGUCAUGCUGGAGCAGAUUUGGGCCUCUUAUUUCCAGUGAAGGGAAAUUGUAAUGCUACAGCAUCCAGAGACAUUCUAUACAAUUGUGUGCUUCCAACUGUCUGGCAACAGUUUUGGGAAGAACCACAUAUGGCUGUGAUGGUCAGGUGUCCACAAACAUUUGGCCAUAUAUUGUAUGAAAGGGGAAUAAUUAGAUAUGCUAUGUUUAAAUAGUUUACAUCCUACACCUGGGGAUAAGACAUAAAAAAUAACUCGAGGUUAAUAAUUAAUAAUCAGUGUUCAGACUUGUAGUAUAUGGUGAGUUGUUAUUGAACUGUUUAGGUGUACAGUGAGGGAAAAAAGUAUUUGAUCCCCUGCUGAUUUUAACAAGCUGAGAUUAGGAGCACUCCCUUUAAGAGAGAAAAGUUUAACCAAAAAAGGUAAACAUUUGACUGACAGUGUAGGAAGUAAUAAAUCUGAGCAAUCAGCCCGGUAAAAUCUAGAGAGUUUCUUUUCUAGCAAAUGAUAACUUUUAAAGAAAGCAGGGGCAUUGAGUGUCACUUACCUGAGCAAAAAUUCACCCAAUUCAAUGCAAUUCUAUUUGCAUUGAAAUACCACAGAGCAACUUUCUGCAUGUAAAUUUAGUCCCAGAGGCAGCAACAGAAAUAUCAAAGGAAACCACCCUUUCGUAGGUGAGGCAACAAAAUUAGCCUAGCUCAAACUACCACAAUUUACUUAUUUAUUUAUAACAAUUCUGUUUUCUGAUAAACAAAAGUCUUGUGCAUGUAUACACUACUCUCGGUGUUUAAGUUGUGCAGUUUUUUAUUAUCUGUGCUGAAAAAAAAAGGUUCUGACGCACAUAAACAUUACAAUUUAGUGAAACAGGUUCAAAUUCUUCUUAUUAAAAGCGUUGACUGGUAUGAGGGGAACAAUCCAGAAUGAUGUUGAGUAUAAAUAAAGCUGGGACUUUCCGACAGUCCUAUCACGUGUCCCAUCACGAUCGCAUCAGAGAUCCCCACUGCCCAGAAACACAGCAUCUACUUUGGGAACGUCUAAUCUAAUAACGCUGCUUCUCUUCACUGCCAUCUGCUGUCACUGAAACAUACAUGAACCCAAACAUACAGCAGGGUUUGCCAUUGGCAACCUGGAAAUAUAUACAAGGCCUUAGUGAUUAUUAUGACUACGUUUUAACUGUUCCAUGGCACCAUUUACAUCAGCAAAGCUCCAUCUGUGAUUCAUGCUUUCCAGACAGCAAUUAAACAGUCAUUAUAAGUAUUUUUAUAACUGUAUCUUAUAACGGUAUUUGUUCUAGUUCAAGCAGUGCAUGCCGGUUAGAAUUUUUAUCCGAAUUGAGACGGUGCUGACGCCACGUCACUGUGACGUAUGGCAUCAAAGUACCGCGGUAGUGACACGAGAGCAGCCGGUUGUCUUUUCUUGUAUUUCCAAUAUCUGUAACUUUUUCUCUUUUUUUAAAUAAUAAUAAAAAAAGAAUAAAAAAAAGAAAAGAGAAAAAAAUGGGAGCAGUCGGCUCCCUCAGCCAGCAGCUUCUCCAGUGUGGCUGCACGAGCUCUGAUGACGACACAGCUAUUUCACGAAUGGCCGGACUCACCAACGACAACGAUGACGUGCUUUUCAUGUUUAUUCUCACUGCUUCAGUUCCGCUAAGGCUCACAAAUCCGUAUUUCUUUAUCAGUGAAAACUCUUUUCAUGUGACCUUAAUGUUAUAUUGUGUCAUGUUUAUCAAAAUAAAACAUUGCAUUUACAUUUACAUUCAUGGCAUUUGGCAGAUGUGUUUAUCCAGAGCGACUUACAGAAGUGUUUUGUCUUUAUCAAUAAAUACAACCUGAUACUGGUUCACUAGGUCACGGACUAAGAAUACCAUCAGUCUAAAAACUCUGUUGGGAGGUAAUAUAGUAAGAAAAACACAGACAACACAACAAUUUAUGUAUUUUUUAAUGAAAAGUGUUAAAGUAUUUUAGGAAGAGGUAGGUCUUCAGACAUCAUUUGAAGACCGUCAGUGACUCUGUUUGGACAUUUAGGGGAAGAUCCACCACCUAGGUGGCAGAACAGAGAAGAGCCAUGAUGCAUGCCUUCCUUGUACCCUGAGAGAUGGUGGGUCCAUUCGAGCGGUGCUAGAGGAUCAGAGGGAGCGUGGUGCAGUGUGGGGUGUGAUAAGGUGAUUUGAGACUUUGCUGAAGAUGUUUCCAGAUGUAUCCAGCCAGAGCAGUCUGCACAAAAUUCUGAAGAAGAGAGAAGUGGAGGGUGAGGUGAAGGCAGAAGCAGCUGUGGCAGUUCCUCCCUCUAAGGCCAAACAGUUUCUGGCUUCUCUCCGAAGGCCUAAGAGGAACAUCUGGAACCGUAGCCGUCCUGAUGUGCAACAGUGGAUCCAGUAGUUCAUGUACAUGGGUUAAUUACGAGGCGUUCCCAACCACCUCUGUCUUUUCAACUACCAAUCAGGAGACUAGAAGCUGACCUGGCAUACCGGAUGUACCAUAAACAUACCACAGAUCAGGGAUGGUAGCAUCACUACAAUGAGCACUCUCUCAUGGGUCCUUGCGACACCACCCAUUACAGACAUGGAGCGAAAGUCAACUAUUACUACUAAUAGCUUUUCUUUCUCCUUAGGAAUGACCUCAUCAAGGCCAAUAAAGUGAAUGCAGUUUUGUAAACGAGUAGAGCCCCUUAUGAUACACAAAUUUCUCCACACUACAGAAUCUAUGAGCUACAAUAAUGUAAUA